CGGUCCUGGUCUGCGACCCCGGCGGCGGUGGCCGGGGGCAGACCCUGACUUGCUGGACCUUGGUUUGUGUGUCUGCGACGUGAGUGGAUUCAGCGGAUCGUCUCCUGAGGUCACCCCUGGUUUUAGCUUUCGGGUCGUUUGUGACUGCCGAGGCCAAGGGGAAGGGAGGCCGAUGGGGGGGAAGGGACACGAGACAGGAGGAGAGGGUGAGUGAGGAGGGGAUCCCGGGGCGGGGGUGGGGGGGUGCAGCGUGGCGUGUGCGCCCCCCUCCUGCCUCCUGGACAUGCUUGUUAAAUGAUGGAGCCACAGCUGAGCAGGGAGCCCUCAGCCACGCAUCUCAAAACGGGGGAGUCUCAGCAUUUAUUUCAAAGACGGAGCCAGCACUUUCUAAGGAUGGCAGUGACCUAAUCCAUCCUCAUGACACUGACAUCAGUGCUGAGAAGACCCCCGUCUCCCUGGCACAUGCCCCCUGCGGCUCAGAGAGGUCAGGUCUCUGUCCAGCGGGAAGGCAGAAACGCCAAGGUUCAAUCCGACGUCCGCUUUAUUGCGAAUCCUGUGCUUUUCACCCCUGGCCGCUGGCUGCGACCCGACACCCUCACGGAGGAGGAGGGCUCCUUUUGCCCUCGGGCUCAGCAGCAUGGUCCACUUCUCCGCCUCCCCUUCAUCCUGGUAUUUUUUAUUCUCCAUCCUUUGGAACAAGCACCGCGGUCAUAAAGGAAAGCAGAAGGGAGGGCGGGCGUUGAGAAGCCUCCCUCCUGCCCGCCUGGUACCACACUCCCCGACCCUGCUUCCUGGUGCCUGUGGGCUCCUUUCUCUUUGCAAAAACAGGAACUUAGAAAUGCGUGUUCUUGUUUCCUACUUUCUUACCCCAAAGUUGGCACACCAAAUUAGACCAUGCUUGGCACUUACUCUGUCAUUACUCAGCGAUGUGUCCGGAAAAUACUGUGAUUUUAGUUCCCAGGGAGCUUCCUCAUUCCUUCUCACGGGGACAGGCGGUUCCACCGGGUGGGGUAAGUCAUCGGUUUACUUAGCCAGGUCCUCGGAUCCGGCCACUAGGCGGUUUCCAUGUGUUUCAGAAUCACAGACAACGCCUUCCGGGAGUCACCUUGCAGAGGUCUGUGCCCACCCGUCAGCUGUAGCCCCAGGAGCGGGUCACUGAGGCAGGGGAAAGUCCAUCUGACAUCUUGCUGGCCGUGACCCUCAUAUGGGCAGUUGAGUAGACCCACUGAGAAAGGAGAACCGUGUUGGCCUCCGUGGCUCCCGGACAACAGAGUGUUUUGUCGAACUUUUGUCUUUUUUCCAAUCUGAUCGAGGAAAACUUAUAUCCUUGUGUAGUUUUACUGCUCGUGUCUCUGACUGUGAUGCUUGCGUGUCUUUUGGACCACAUGUAUUUCUUAUUCUGUGAACCGCCCAUGACCUCGGCCCAUUUUUCUGUUGGUCCUGUGGUCUUUCUUGCUUUCAUCUCUGAGACCUCUUCAUAUAUUUUGGAGAACAACACUUUUCUGUGUCGUGAGGUACAAAUAUUUCCCCUAGUUUUUGCCCUUUGUUCCCCACUCUGUGUUGUGCUUUGGUUUUGGCUUCUCUGUGGACACUGCUGUUGUCUACAUUUGCAAUUGUUAAUCUCUGCUUUUUGGCUGCUGGAUUUUGAGACAUGGUUUGACAUGUCAAUCGACUCCGAUGUUAUUCUGUCAAAGUUCCAACAGGAAUGACACGGCACACUCAAAUUAGGGUGAUUUUAAGGCGGGGGUUACGUACAAAGGGACUACUGACAAGGGCCUGGGCAAGUUUUAGGGGCGUCCCAGGGGCAGUGCGAGAACGGGGGCCCAGCAGCAACCGAGAUGCAUCACCCCUGGGCCCCUGGGGAUGAGGGGACGGAGGAGUUAUGCAGCCUGGCAGGAGAGAGUUGUGUAGGCCAGGCCUCCUAGAGAGGGGCCCUCGUCUGCGGAGGAAACCAGGAACGGAACACCCUGCCCUCACGUCCCUGCUUCCCUCCUGUCUGGUCGUGGCUGUUGGGAGAAGCCUGCUGGCAGCGUCCAUGUGGGCAGCCGUCCAGGGCACAAAAUGAGGGGUGAGUGGUCCGAGCUCUGUGGGGCGGGUGUUGGGGAGAAGAGGCGGGACCCACUUCCAGACCCCGUCAGCAGCACUUACGGGGUCUUACUUUUACAUUUACAACUUUGUCCCGGUGGAGUUUCUCUGGAUGUACUAUGUGUGGCGUGGGUCCUGCUUCUCCGACAACUAUCCACGUGCCCCUACGCUGCUUAUCACAAAAUCCACCUUUACCCACAUUGGUCAUAUAUUAACGUCCCAUGUGCACGUGGCUCUAUUUUUGGACUUCCUCUUUUGUUCCACUGGGCUGUCCAUUCAUAUUCUGUAUUCAUCACCAAGGCCUUGUGAUGGGCUUUAAGAACCGGGAAGACCAAUCCCUCCUCAUUUUUCUUCUAUUUCAGGGUUUUCCUGGGCUACCUUGCUUGUUUAUUUUCAGUGGAUUUGUUUGUCUACUUCUGAAGGAAGGAAACUUGUUAGGACAUUUAGGGAGAUUAUGUUAAAUUUAUACACUUAUUAACUGAGGACUCACAUCUUUAGAACAUAGCUGAUUUCUGCUUUAAAACAAUGAUUUGUCAAGAGACCUGGCUGUUCCUGGGUUUUGGCACCGCCAGCAAGCAAAGAAAGAAACCUGACAGACACGACCUUGCCAGUUUUCCCAGGGGACCUGCCGGAGUAGAUCACAUGCACACAGCCCUGGCCUCGGGCCCUGCUUCUGGGAAGCCUGACGUGAGAUGACCACUAACACAGUCCAAGAAAUGACCGAACGCGGGAGAAACCUACCCUCAGGACUUAGAGGCCAUCCACGCAUCUGAGCCUCCCGGGAGCCUCCAGCUGACCCUGCUUCCCGGUGGGAAGGAGGAGGGCUUUCUGCUGCGCCCUCUGAAGAGCGACCAGCAAGGGCAGAGGCGGCCGGGAUGGAGAGGGGCACGCCUGGCGGAGGUUCUGGUCCCUGACCCGUGUGCUGAGCCUCAGACGGUGGAGCCAGACGCGACGGUGAUGCUCCGUGACCAUGUGGGACACGUCACAGCUGGGUGUCUGGCGCGUCCUGGCAAUGGCCUGUCUCUGCAGGUCUGAGAAGCACCACAACGUUCUUUACAAGGUUGACACGGGAGCUGGGCCCUCGCACAUCAGCCCCGUCCUCCCUGCAUCUUAAGUCUGAGCUCUGAUGGGACUUCUGUACCAAGAGCGAAUUAACAGGGUAAAUGAUGUUCAACUAAAGAGUUCAACCAGCACACUGUGAUGUAGCCGAGCUCGUGUCCGAGCAGAGGACCAUCCACACAGGGGGUCACAGUGGAACAGCCAGGCCUGCUGAGGGAAGUUCCCUGCUCCCCAUCGUCCCCCCUCUCUUCCCAUCCCCCUCCCUCCCCCUCCCCCUCCCUCCCCAUCCCCCCUCCCUCCCCACCGCCUCCAUCCCCUUCACCCCCCGCCCUCCCUCCCCAUUCCCCUCCCUCCCCUCCCUCCCCCUCCCCCUCCCCCUCCCUCCCCCUCCCCUCCCUCCCAUUACCUCCCCACAGGCUACCCUGUAUCUCUCCUUACUCCCUAUCGUCCCCCUUCCCCCCAACUUCUCUGCAAACCGAGGGAGCAGGAGUAAUGCAGCCGAGCGCGGCCUUUCUGCAGCGAGUCCCACAGACCAGAGAACCUUCCAGAAGAGGUCACGGUGCUCUGCGGCCUAAAGAUGCAGGAGGCCAGAUUGCUCAUUUCCUUCGUUCAAGAGCUCCACUGGGGCCGGUGUGUCUGUCCUCUGCCCCUGGACCAUAACUGGGAGUCGGAUAAGAGCCUCCGCUCCCGUAAUCCCCAGGGAGUCCUCCACGAUGAAGCUCCUGCCGCCGUCCCCGGCCCUGCCCGGGGCACCCUGGCUGCAGUGUGACCACCCAUAGCCAACGUGUGGAAGGAAGUGAGCUUUCCCUUCCCAAACAGUCUCCGGGGGCAUCACUAUCAGCUGACUGGUUCACACCUUGGACAUUGCAAAGUAAAGCACUUGACAGCAUCACAAAUUCGCGUGGUUAUGCGCAGGGACCACUCUCCAAGGAGGCAAAAAAAUAGCCCUGGGCUGGGACAGGACGCUGUCCCCCCGUGGGAAGCCGUGGUCUAUCUGGGCAUCCAUCUGUCUUCUCCUCCGUGGAGAGAGCGCUGGGCACAGUGACCUCCGAGGUCCAGCCAGCUUGAAACCCGUCACUUGACAACUACGGGAGAGUUUAAAUGAGUAUGUACUUUUCUCCACCCUCCCCGCAGUUCUUCUUAGCUUACAAAAUGAGGAAAUCAAACCAAACCUGGACACAAAAUCCCACCCUGGGGUCAAGAUAUUUGUAGAGUGUGUAUCGGCUCCAGCCCUCGACCUUGGCCACCAGUGUCUGUGCUUCCCUCUCCUGAGCAAAUGGUCCUGAUACUCACGAGGGACACAGCUGUUUCCUGCCCACCUUCCACCAGAGUUCUGCAACCUCCGUGCCUGCUGCGUUAACACCUCUCUGGGGGAUGACGGACGGGACAUUGCGGGGAUCGGAGCAAAGGUGAGCCAGAGCCGGACAUCCCAGCGAGUGGCUCUUCAGGCAGAAGGGAGCACUGGGGUCCUGACGGGCUUGGUGGGUGAGUCAGCCCAGGGACGGCAGACACAGCCUGUCAGGUCCCGGAUCUGUAAGUGAGCAGAACAUCGACUGCACUGGGGCAGGGAGGGAGGGGGAGAGCCAUUCACACCCGAUGGGUGCAGAUCAAAAGGCAUGAGGCAGGCAGCCCCGGCUUUCCUUCCCAAGGGCCUGUGAGUAAGAGCUGAGGCCAGCUCCGUGCUAAACCUGAGUCCCCUGUGCUGCCCUCCAAGCAGGGUGGAGGCGAGCUGGCGUGGGAGGGGAGGGCGGACAGUGGACAUCACGGCGGGUCACAGUCUGUGGGUGUCCAGCGCGCCUGGCGGCAUCUGUCAGCAUCUGCUUACUUCUGAGCCAGGCUGCAUUCAACAGAGCAAGGCUGCAUCUGCAUGGAAGGGGCUGAGCCCCAGGAGCUGGCGGCUAUCACCCCUGGCUUCUUACAAGCAGAUUCUCUGGUCUGAGGAUGAAAUCACUAUGUUGCCAGAGAACACGGCUUUAGGUCAGGGGACAUGAUAUACACUCCAGAGAAGAAGAAGGGAAUUCAUUUUCCUUUUCUGCACAGGGUUCAGCCCAGCUGUGGACAGAUGUGCCCUCUCCCCGUCAGCUCCGUCUGGAAUUAACCUCCCGGAGUCAGACUGUUGGGUGCAAAAGAGAAAUGAAACAAUGUAGUCCUUGGAAACUGGACGCCAUGUACCUCCAAGGGUGUGAGAUUCCAGAGGGCAUACGGGCACUGGCUUAGUUGUAUGUUAUCUAGUACAACACGCUGCAUAAUUAGCAACAAAAUAAUCCAAUUUAGCAAAUCUAUGUACCGAGCAUGCUGCUAGCUGCCAGGGCUUCAAAUAUAACUAGGUCUCUGGCUUAUUGAUACACUUUCUGAUGGUUUUGACGGUUGUCAGGGAGGAACUUAGUAUUAGAAUUGCUUCAUGGGACAACCUCUUAAGCAGUCACUGGGGUCUUUAAAAGAAUACAAAUCAUUACGUUUAAAAUUUAUUUAUUUUAUAAAAGGACAAAAAUAAACUAAAGUUGUUGAGACUUAAAUGUUUCUUUACCACAAAAGAGAUUAUUCCUCUUAGUAUAAGAGAUUACAGAAGAUUGAGUGCACGUGCACGCACGCCUACAGUGGUCUAUACUGUACGUCUCGACGUUAGGAAGAAUAGAUCUUCUCCUUCCAAAUGCUGCUUCCAUUUUCUCUCUUCUUCCUCUUCAUUUUAUUGUUGUAUUAUUAUUGUUGGUUGAAUUGAGUUUCCCCAAAAGACACGUCCGAGUCCUAAGCCCUGGUACCUGUGAAUGUGACUUCCUUUGGAAAUAGGGUAUUUGCAGAUGUAAUCACGUUAAAAUGAGGUCAUAUUGGAUUGUAAGUAGUGGGCUCUAAUCCAGUGAUUGGUGUCCUUACAACGAGAGGGACAUUUUGACACAGACACACAGAGGAAAGAAAGCUGCGUGGAGACAGAGGCUGAGGUUGGAGCGGGACGUUUACAAGCCUUGGAAAGCCAGGGGCUGCGGGGAGCCACCAGAAGCUGGGAGAGGGGCCUGGAACAGAUCCCCCUCGGAGCCCCCAGGAGCAAACUCUGCCAUCACCUUGAUCUUGGACUUCUAGCACCCAGGACUGGGAGACAAGACAUUUCUGUUGUACCCAGUUUGUGGUCCUUUGCUACGGCAGCCCUGGGAGACUAAUACAGUCAUUUUAACAUUGUCCAGGUUUACCUUAAUCACAGUCUGUUUGCUAAAGAUAGUUCUUAUGGUGUGUGACAUACGCUUUAUCUUUAAACAGAUUCACUGUUCACCACCUGUGCCUUUAGCUGUGCACUCUCCCUUUUCUCUCCACAGUUAUGUCCUCAUCUUUGGACUCUCGGUGAAUUCCUUCCCCCUCCCUCCCCUCCUCCCUCCCUCCCCUUCCACCGUCCCCCUCCCUCUCCCCCUUCCCUCCCUCCCUCUGUGCUGGUUGCUGGCGUAGCUGCUCAGCGGGUCCUUUUCAUCUGACACCUGCUUGAGGAGCUCCCUCCAGACAUUCUGUUUGCCCCGAAUUAAAGCAGUGACUU